AUUGAACGCUGGCGGCAUGCCUUACACAUGCAAGUCGAACGGUAACAGGUCUUCGGAUGCUGACGAGUGGCGAACGGGUGAGUAAUACAUCGGAACGUGCCCGAUCGUGGGGGAUAACGGAGCGAAAGCUUUGCUAAUACCGCAUACGAUCUACGGAUGAAAGCAGGGGACCGCAAGGCCUUGCGCGGACGGAGCGGCCGAUGGCAGAUUAGGUAGUUGGUCGGAUAAAAGCUUACCAAGCCGACGAUCUGUAGCUGGUCUGAGAGGACGACCAGCCACACUGGGACUGAGACACGGCCCAGACUCCUACGGGAGGCAGCAGUGGGGAAUUUUGGACAAUGGGCGCAAGCCUGAUCCAGCCAUGCCGCGUGCAGGAUGAAGGCCUUCGGGUUGUAAACUGCUUUUGUACGGAACGAAAAGACUCUGGUUAAUACCUGGGGUCCAUGACGGUACCGUAAGAAUAAGCACCGGCUAACUACGUGCCAGCCGCCGCGGUAAAAC
rnacentral:rRNA from 1 species